rnacentral:miRNA from 1 species
UGUGUGUGUAGAGGAAGAAGGGA